rnacentral:rRNA from 1 species
UACGUAGGGGGCAAGCGUUGUCCGGAUUUAUUGGGCGUAAAGAGCGUGUAGGCGGCCAGGUAGGUCUGCUGUGAAAACUCGAGGCUUAACCUCGAGAUGUCGGCGGAAACCAUCUGGCUAGAGUCCGGAAGAGGAGAAUGGAAUUCCCGGUGUAGCGGUGAAAUGCGCAGAUAUCGGGAAGAACACCCGUGGCGAAAGCGGCUCUCUGGGACGGUACUGACGCUGAGACGCGAAAGCGUGGGGAGCAAACAGG